rnacentral:rRNA from 1 species
GACGAACGCUGGCGGCGUGCUUAACACAUGCAAGUCGAACGGAAAGGCCCUGCUUUUGUGGGGUGCUCGAGUGGCGAACGGGUGAGUAGCACGUGAGUAACCUGCCCUUGACUUUGGGAUGACUUCAGGAAACUGGGGCUAAUACCGGAUAGGAGCUCCUGCUGCAUGGUGGGGGUUGGAAAGUUUCGGCGGUUGGGGAUGGACUCGCGGCUUAUCAGCUUGUUGGUGGGGUAGUGGCUUACCAAGGCUUUGACGGGUAGCCGGCCUGAGAGGGUGACCGGCCACAUUGGGACUGAGAUACGGCCCAGACUCCUACGGGAGGCAGCAGUGGGGAAUAUUGCACAAUGGGCGGAAGCCUGAUGCAGCAACGCCGCGUGCGGGAUGACGGCCUUCGGGUUGUAAACCGCUUUCGCCUGUGACGAAGCGUGAGUGACGGUAAUGGGUAAAGAAGCACCGGCUAACUACGU